GAACCGGAAGUGCCUGUAGGUCACGUGUCCUCAGCCCCGCCCCUGCUUCAUUUUUAGGUCAUUACUGGAAAAGCGCGCAGGUGAACAUUUUUUUUAAUUUUUUUUUUAAAGCAGUCUUGAAAACAAUCUUAAGGACAUUUGACAAAAUGUGCUGAGCAGCUGUGAGAUAACUCAUGGGUGGACUUCAUUCUAAGAACAAUACUCUUGUAACUCAUGGCUCAACUUCAUUAGGUAUCACUCCCCAGCUGUCACUGCCGUCCCAUCACACACUUGUUGGAGUGGAGUGGAGUGGAGUAGGAGACCAGUACACGAUGGAAAGAGACAGACCGGCAGUGGUGGAUGUGGAAGGAGGAGUCAGCAGGGGGUAAUGUCGGGUAAAGACGUUACUUCAAGGGAGGCAGGCCAGAGAGACUACUGUGAUGCUCCCUCACCGCGGGGAGGCACCUCCGCCUGCUGCCUCUAAUUGCACAUCAGGCCUAAAAGCUCCAACUUAAACACAACAUCCGCCCGUUAACACCGAGGUGUCGCGCAAGUGCCGCCCGGCCGGGGAGCACACUGGGCGGUGUGCCGGGCC